rnacentral:ncRNA from 1 species
CAUUCAUACCAGGGGAGCGGAAUCGCUGAGAGGAAGACGACCAAGUCUUCGACCCUUUGAACCUGUCGGAUAAUGCCGACGUAGGAAGUGUCUUUAAGGCCUGCG